ACGGCCGUACCAUGCUGAAUAUACCGGUUCUCGUUAGAUCACCGCAUGCUAAAACAUCAUUGGGCGCGGUCAUACUUGGGUGGGUGACCACCUGGGAGCACUGCGUGCCGUU
rnacentral:rRNA from 1 species